rnacentral:rRNA from 1 species
GGCGACCGCUAUUGGAGUUCGAUUAAGCCAUGCGAGUAGAAAGAAAUUAGAUUCUUUGCAUACUGCUCAGUAACACGUGGAUAACCUGCCCUACACUGGGGGAUAAUCUCGGGAAACUGAGGAUAAUACCCCAUAGACCACUACGCCUGGAACGGUGAGUGGUUGAAAGCUCCGGCGGUGUAGGAUGGGUCUGCGGCGUAUCAGGUCGUAGGGGGUGUAAUGGACCUCCUAGCCAUCGACGCGUACGGGUUGUGGGAGCAAUAGCCCGGAGACGGAUUCUGAGACACGAAUCCGGACCCUACGGGGUGCAGCAGGCGCGAAAACUUCACACUGCAGGAAACUGUGAUGAGGGAACUCCAAGUGACUGCACAAUGUGUAGCCUUUUCUUGAAUCUUAAUAGUUCUUGGAAUAAGGGCUGGGAAAGACCGGUGCCAGCCGCCGCGGUAAUACCGGCAGCUCAAGUGGUCGUCGCUUUUAUUGGGCCUAAAACGUCCGUAGCCUGUUUGGUAAAUCUGUGGGUAAAUCAACGAGCUUAACUCGUUGAAUUCUGCAGAGACUGCCAGACUAGGGACCGGGAGAGGUAUGAGGUACUCUGGGGGUAGGGGUAAAAUCCUGUCAUCCUCAGAGGACCACCUGUUGCGAAGGCGUCAUACUGGAACGGAUCCGACGGUCAGGGACGAAGCCUAGGGGCACGAACCGGAUUAGAUACCCGGGUAGUCCUAGGUGUAAACGCUGUGGAUUUGGUGUGUGGGGUCCGCAAUGGGCCCCAUGUGCCGGAGUGAAGAUGUUAAAUCCACUGCCUGGGGAGUACGGUCGCAAGGCUGAAACUUAAAGGAAUUGGCGGGGGAGCACUGCAACGGGAGGAGCGUGCGGUUU